AUGUCCUCGGACUGCGGGUCCAGGGUCCAGUAGUUGCCCUUGCCCGGGUUGCCCGGCUCGCGGGGGAUCUUGACGAAGCAGUCGUUGAGUGAGAGGUUGUGGCGGAUGCUGUUCUGCCAGGCGGGGAACUUCUCCCUGUAGUAGGGGAAGCGGUUGCUGAUGAACUCGCAGAUGCCGCUCAGGGUCAGCUUCUUCUGCGGGCUCUGCAGGAUGGCCAUGGUGAUGAGCGCGAUGUGUGGACAAAUCCUCCAAGAUUUAACUUCCAAGAAAACCGGCGGCGGAGCGGGUGGAGGAGGCGAGGAUGUGUGGCCAAUGCACGCGGAGUGCAAGGCCGCCUAGUUGGGAGCCGCAAGAGCCUGCCUGGUGUGGCAGGCACACGGAACCCAAUCCCUGUCUGUCCGCUGCGGCCUGGGAGGGGAGCGCCGGCCUCACCAGAGGAAGGAGCACGAGGGGAGGAGUUCCGAGAGGAAAUAAUUAGUGAAAUAUUUGCAGAAGAUGCUGGGAUGUGGAUUUAAUUCCGGAUGGACAGUGGUGCUUCUGAUUCCCUCAGUCUGUUUCCCCACCCACGAUCUCCUCUUUCCUUGGCCUAGACACACCAAAAAUAAUUCAAUAAAAUAAAAAUAAAAAUUUAAAAA
rnacentral:lncRNA from 1 species